rnacentral:rRNA from 1 species
CCUACGGGAGGCAGCAGUGGGGAAUUUUGGACAAUGGGGGCAACCCUGAUCCUGCCAUGCCGCGUGAGUGAAGAAGGCCUUCGGGUUGUAAAGCUCUUUCAGCCGGAACGAAAUGGUUACGGUUAAUACCCGUGACUAAUGACGAUACCGGAAGAAGAAGCACCGGCUAACUACGUGCCAGCAGCCGCGGUAAUACGUAGGGUGCGAGCGUUAAUCGGAAUUACUGGACGUAAAGCGUGCGCAGGCGGUUUUGUAAGUCAGAUGUGAAUCCCCGGGCUUAACCUGGGAACUGCGUUUGAAACUACAAGGCUGGAGUGUGGCAGAGGGGGNUGGAAUUCCACGUGUAGCAGUGAAAUGUGUGGAGAUGUGGAGGNAACACCGAUGGCGAAGGCAGCCCCCUGGGUUAACACUGACGCUCAGGUACGAAAGCGUGGGGAGCAAACAGGAUUAGAUACCCUGAUAGUCCACGCCCUAAACGAUGUCAACUAGUUGUCGGGUCUUAACGGGCUUGGUAACGCAGCUAACGCGUGAARUUGACCGCCUGGGGAGUACGGUCGCAAGAUCA